rnacentral:rRNA from 1 species
UGGGGAAUAUUGGMCAAUGGGCGAAAGCCUGAUCCAGCCAUGCCGCGUGUGUGAAGAAGGCCUUCGGGCUGUAAAGCCCUUUCAGUUGGGAAGAAAGCCUUGUGGUUAAUACCCGGGAGNAAKGACGUYACCCACAGAAGAAGCACCGGCUAACUCCGUGCCAGCAGCCGCGGUAAUACGGAGGGUGCGAGCGUUAAUCGGAAUUACUGGGCGUAAAGCGCGCGUAGGCGGUCUGAUAAGCCGGUUGUGAAAGCCCCGGGCUCAACCUGGGAACGGCAUCCGNAACUGUCAGGCUAGAGUGCAGGAGAGGAAGGUAGAAUUCCCGGUGUAGCGGUGAAAUGCGUAGAGAUCGGGAGGAAUACCAGUGGCGAAGGCGGCCUUCUGGACUGACACUGACGCUGAGGUGCGAAAGCGUGGGUAGCAAACAGGAUUAGAUACCCUGGUAGUCCACGCCGUAAACGAUGUCAACUAGUUGUUGGAGGCCUUGUGCCUUUUAGRACGCAGUUAACGCAUUAAGUUGACCGCCUGGGGAGUACGGCCGCAAGGUUA